UCAAGUUGCGCGAUGGCCGCAGAUCAGAUUUUAUCAAGCAGUUAUCUUAAAUAUAGUGAUGAACGUCAACUUAUCGAUGAUGAUGAAGAGGAAGAUAUCUGGUUAGAAGAUCUUGAUUAUGACAAUGAGAGUGCGGAAAUUUCUCUGAAACAUGUUCAUUUUGUGACUGAUGCAACUUUGAGUUCAUGGAAGGAUCAAGAUGCCGCGGCUUAUCAUUCAAGCACAAGUUUAGGG